rnacentral:tRNA from 1 species
UGGGGUGUCGCCAAGUGGUAAGGCACGGGGUUUUGAUCUCCGCAUUCCCAGGUUCGAAUCCUGGCACCCCAGCUA